GAAAAUUUAUGUUUGCUGCCACCUACAUCUAAAGUUUUUUCCCGGAAAAUCCUAAUUAUGAUCGGUGGCGCUUACUAAAAUUCUACAGCAGAGAUUUUAAAUUGCGAAAUAAGCACAUCCCAAUUAUCUUUCUAUGAAAGCCAGUUGAUGGAUCGACUGACCCAACCCUGUUCCGGUCAUUUACAUCAAAACGUUAUGCUAUAUUACUAAACUACGGGGAAGCUGCCAAACCCAGCAGGGGAAUGGGUUUUGCAUAACUGGAUGACUUGUAAACUGUAUGCAUGGUAUCAUACUCUUUAUACUUAGCAAGGAUCUAAACCCAAGACCCAUAUUGGAAGACGGAAAACUUGAUU